UUUAAUAUGGCAGAAUAGUGCAAUGGACUUAAACCCCAUAUAUAAAAUUAAAAUUUUUAUUAAAA
rnacentral:tRNA from 1 species